GUAGGGUGCGAGCGUUAAUCGGAAUUACUGGGCGUAAAGUGUGCGCAGGCGGCAGAGCAAGUCGAGUGUGAAAGCCCCGGGCUUAACUUGGGAAUUGCGCUCGAAACUACUUUGCUGGAGUGUGGCAGAGGAAGGUGGAAUUCCACGUGUAGCGGUGAAAUGCGUAGAGAUGUGGAGGAACACCGAUGGCGAAGGCAGCCUUCUGGGCCAACACUGACGCUCAUGCACGAAAGCGUGGGGAGCAAACAGGAUUAGAUACCCUGGUAGUCCACGCCCUAAACGAUGAUGACUAGUUGUUGGGGGAGUUAAAUCCCUUAGUAACGCAGCUAACGCGUGAAGUCAUCCGCCUGGGGAGUACGGUCGCAAGAUUAAA
rnacentral:rRNA from 1 species